rnacentral:rRNA from 1 species
UACGUAGGGUCCGAGCGUUGUCCGGAAUUAUUGGGCGUAAAGGGCUCGUAGGCGGUUUGUCACGUCGGGAGUGAAAACUCAGGGCUCAACCCUGAGCGUGCUUUCGAUACGGGCAGACUAGAGGUAUGCAGGGGAGAACGGAAUUCCUGGUGUAGCGGUGGAAUGCGCAGAUAUCAGGAAGAACACCCGUGGCUAAGGCGGCUCUCUAGUACGGUACUGACGCUGAGACGCGAAAGCGUGGGGAGCGAACAGG